ACUGGCAGGCGCCUCUGACUGGAGCAAGGGCUAGAUCAAUUGAGGAAGGAGACAAGGCCAGUCUGUGACUACGACUAGAGACAGAGGCCAAACAGCAUCUGUGACAUAGACAGGGCCAGGGAGUCUGGGAUUGAAGACGGUGGGGAAAGACAGAAUGAUCGUCUUCAUGUAGAAAAGUCACAGCUGGUAUGAUUGUAAGUGGGCUACCGGACUGAUUGUCAGCCAGAAAAGAGGUAACCUUACCAUUCUUGGUCUCUCUCUCGAGGCCAAAAAAAAUUACAUAUUCUAAUAAAGUUAAUAUAUAACCUAAGUUUACCUUUAAAGUUUUUAUUUCUGCAGAAAGAGCCUCAAUCUUUUCCGUGUCUCCAAGGGGACUAGAGAAAUCUCUAAUAUUUUCAUUGCUUUCAGUGUCUCUGUGGGGACUAGAGCAAUCCCUAAUAGCUUCAUUUCUUUCAGCAUCUAUGAUGGGACUUGAGAAAUCUUUAAUAGCUUCAAUGCGUU
rnacentral:lncRNA from 1 species